rnacentral:rRNA from 1 species
CCGCCCAGCGGCGGAGCAUGUGGAUUAUUCGAUGCAACGCGAAGACCCUUGCGUGUCCCCUCCCAGAAGCCGUAGAGAUACGGCCCCCCUUGUGGUUGGUGUCGGUGGUGCAUGGCUGUUCAGCUCUGUCUGAGAUGUUGGUUAGUCCCGCACGAGCGCCACCCUUGUCUUGUUGCCGCCCGUUUGCGGGCCUCGUAAGAGACUCCGGGGUCACUCGAGGAAGGUGGGGACGACGUCAGUCAUCUCCCCUUAUUCCGGGCUUCCCUGCUCAUUGCCCGUUCGAGGGCUGGGCGAAUGAGGUGGAG